rnacentral:rRNA from 1 species
UUAUGAGAGUUCGAUCCUGGCUCAGGAUGAACGCUGGCGGCGUGCCUAACACAUGCAAGUCGAACGAGAUGCGUAUUGGUAAGCUUCGGCCGGAAGAUGCGUUAUCUAGUGGCGGACGGGUGAGUAACACGUGGGUAACCUGCCUUAUGGAGGGGGAUAACAGAGAGAAAUCACUGCUAAUACCGCAUAAGCACACAUUGCCGCAUGCCAGAGUGUGAAAAGAUUUAUCGCCAUAAGAUGGACCCGCGUCUGAUUAGCCAGUUGGCAGGGUAAAAGCCUACCAAAGCAACGAUCAGUAGCCGAUCUGAGAGGAUGACCGGCCACAUUGGGAC